rnacentral:lncRNA from 1 species
CUGAAGCAAGGCAGAAGGCAGCUGGUUGCCCCAGCAGCUCUGAUGGCAUGCACUGUCAGAAGAUGCUGCUUUCUCUGGAGACCUGGAUACCUACUGGUCCGGCACUGCACCCAUCUGCAUGGGGGGCUGCAAGGGGAAGCAUAAGGAGCUGAAGAGGAGCCAGUGUGGGAAUGGCAGCUGCUGCUGGCUGGGCUACAAGUCCUUCUGCCGAGUGAACUGCGGGAGGCCCGAGGCAGACUUCAACUCAGUGGUGUAUGGCAAUGACUGGUGGGUGGGCUCCGUGGUGCGCUACAGCUGCCGGCCCGGCUUCAUGCUGCUGGGGGACCCGGCCAGUGCCUGCCAGUCUGACGGCCGCUGGACGCCCAAGCCCACCUGCCUCCGGAUCUGCCUGCGAGGCCGGAUCGAGAUCAGCGAGCGGGACAUCAGUGGGAGCUGCUCGUCAUCCUGCAGCACCCAGAGCAACAUGGGAGCCUCCCUGCACCACGGCUGCAUCAAGAUCUCCUCCUGCAGCACCAAACGCUCAGGCUGGGCGCGCUGGUUCCUGCGCUGCGAUAUCUGCGAGUGCGACUGCCAUGUGCCCUGUGGGGAGACCCAGUAG